AUAUCUUUUGGUUAUAACCUCAUUACUGGUUCCCUCUUCAUCUCACAUGAUCAACUAGUGAGGCGAAUGAAUGAACCGAGUAGAAUUGUUAUUUGAAUUCAGCCUCAACUCAAUUACAGAUCUUACAUUCUUAAACUCUGGUCCCACUGAACUCGGUCAUGUUUGAGCUUUGCUUCAUUAGCAAUGACUAUAGAUUUUGUUUGUUCAUUUUCAAUUCUUUGUGGUCUUUUAUGAAAAUAAAAGUUUUUUGUGGGGCUGGGAGCCUGUUAAAACGGGGUCCUAGGCUCAAAAAGUUUUUGCCUAUUGAUGUGGACACUUCUCUACUUUAAUCUGCAACUUUUAUUUGGAAGCCAGAUGUGUUUCCACUAGAUCAGAAAGCAGAAAUACUUCCAUUUCAAGAGGAUGGCAUGCUUGAUGAUGUCACCUUAUCAAUCAUACCCAUCUUAAUGGUAGCAUCUUUCCGUUAGAACCAACAUUUAAGGGACUUGAAUGAGAAAGCUUCAGGGGAAAUCUCUUGGGCAGCAUUUUAUGGAAAAAAUCCCUCAAUGAAGGCAUUUUUAGCAUAGCUUCUUCUUCUUCACUCUCUCACUUAACCUUCACCACAACUUUGGCUUCUUUCACAUGCCAUGUUUCCCAGGUGUUUCUGGCAUUUUGACACAGUGAUGUUCUUUAAGAUACUAUUGUUCUCUGAUUGCAAGACUGGUAUUCACCAUGUUAAGUGCCAGCAACUUCCCGGAUCCUUUGUUGAUGCAUACAAUGCUUUAAAUCCCAGAAUAAUUUGCUGGAGAACAAUUAGAGAACCAGUUUGCUGGUGCUGGUUUUACUGCACUGAUAAAAAUACAUGAGACCUUAAAGAAUUGAAGAUAUCUUGUGAGGGAAGUGCACUCUAGCAAAUGAAGGAAUUGUAAUUGUAGCAAAUCCCUGAAUGAGGGGGAGUUUAAUAAUUUUUCUUCAUUUUCAUAAUUGGGUUUGUGUGAAAGGAUAAACAGUAAAAAAAAUCUCACAUUUCCAUGAAAGUUUGCUGCUCUGCUAACAUGACAGGUGGAGAAUUGGUAUAUCUCUAUUCUCUAGCAGAACGAGAUUGCUUUUGUAUGAUUGAACUUUCCUUGACUGUGUUGUUCCUAUGCAGCUUGUGUUAGGGAGUUUAGUCAUCUUUUAGAGUGCCUUGAAACAAACAUAUAGUGUAUAACACAACCAGCAUUCAAUUUAUAUCGCAUCCUUAUCAUUGCUUGAAGAGUGAUUGUUUUUGGGUUCAGUAAGAAAAUUUUCUUGCGUUCCCUCUUGAAGUUAAAGGAGAAGCAUGAAAAUAGCAGCUUGUUUAUGUGAAUAAAAUUUUGUCCUUGUAUAGUUGCAAGGACUUUAUUAUUAUGUUUCAAAGGAAUUUCUGUUUAUUCUUUUUAUCAAUUUGGGUUUUGCUUGAAUAUCACCAGCAAGAGAAUGUCUAAUUUAUUAUGUCUUUGGCGUUAGGUGGACUCUUUCUCCAUCUCAUUUGAAUUUUGAUAUGCUUGUUUCAUUGUUCUCAGUAUACUUAUCCUAGAUAUAAAAUACAAAAGCAUGGUAAUUAAUGACAGAAUGUAAGUGACAGAGAAAUUGGCAGCUUUUCUGUGUAAUACUAUCUUUCUUUUUAUUUCAAUGAUCUUUAACUUCAAAUUUUGCCAGGCAGAAUGAAAGAAAUCAAAUUCUAAUUCAUGUCAUAGAUGGAAAGAAAAAAGGUUCAUUGUUGUUCAUUAAGUACCUAUGAAUCAUUCCAUGUGAGUGAAUAAUACACGAAUAUGUUAAUUUGAAGGAUUCAAGGUGAGUUACUAAGGAACUAUUAAGUUAAUAUUUGGUUCUUGAUAUUAGGAGACUGGUAGUCAUGGGAUUGUGAUUCAUUUUAUUGUUGACUUGGUUGUAUAUGAGAUUCUUAGUUGAAUAAAAUGAUGUCAGUUCAUUCCAUCUUAGAAUCUUUUAAAAUGCUUCUCCUUUAUCAGUAUUUUUUCCAACUUUCCAUGCACUUAUCCAUUUAUGGUUUAUUACAGGCUGAUUUACUUGCACGAUAUAAGCCUACACUUAAUGUUAGUUCCUUGAUAUCAGACCUUUCCAAUGCUGAGCUUAUCAAGGCAGAAGCUUUGGAAUACUUCAAGAACUGUCGCCAUUUAGUUUUGUACUAUGAGGACCUCAUGAAAAAUCCGAAGGCUUUAUAUGAUGCUCAAGAGUUUCUUAGAGUUCCGUUUAGAAAGCUAGUGAGCCGCCAAGUGAAGAUUCAUGUCAAACCUCUUUCAGAACAAAUUAAUAAUUGGCAGGAAGUUUAUAGGACACUUCAAGAAUCAAAAUAUGAAUAUUUGCUACGCUACCCAGAUAAUAUUUCAUAGUUUGAAUUCUGGUUUCUGGAUAGGUGCACUGUAAAUUUCACAAAUAUGAAAAAUUCCAACAUCUUGUUGUAAUUUGAAUGGAAGAGUAGAGAAGGAAGACAAUGUCUUUUGACAAGGAUUUGCCUAUCUUGUUAGGUUUUCUCCAGGAGAAGAUCAACGCCAUAAUUUGAUGAAAGACGUACUCCAAAGAGUAUCCAAUUCAAUCUAUAAAGAUGUAACUAUGUCUUCAACCAUAUCCAAAUCUCAACUUAAGAAGAAAUGUUAGGAAUUGAAUAUUUGCGUGCAUGCCUGUCUCUCCCGUUCCUUGUCAAGAAUUGCUCUGGAAGCACAUUCACUAUUAUGUUAGAGUACAUAUGGUAUCAGGCCUUGAAGUGCAAUUUGCAUACACAGGAACAAGUGGGAUGAGUUGGCUGCCUCUAUCUGUUUCUUUGAUUGGAGCUUUUUAGUUUGCAGUGUUAGAGGAACU
rnacentral:misc_RNA from 1 species